CUACGGGUCGCACCAGUCGAGAAUCUUCCGCAAUGGACGUAAGUCUGACGGAGCGACGCCGCGUGCGGGAUGAAGGCCUUCGGGUUGUAAACCGCUGUCAGUGGGGAGGAAAUGCAUCAGGGUUCUCCCUGGUGUUUGACCGAUCCGCAGAGGAAGCGCAGGCUAAGUUCGUGCCAGCAGCCGCGGUAACACGAACUGCGCGAACGUUAUUCGGAAUCACUGGGCUUAAAGAGUUCGUAGGCGGCCUUUCAAGUCGGGUGUGAAAUCCCUCGGCUCAACCGAGGAAUUGCGCCUGAUACUGUUGGGCUCGAGGGGGAUAGGGGUGAGCGGAACUGAUGGUGGAGCGGUGAAAUGCGUUGAUAUCAUCAGGAACACCGGUGGCGAAGGCGGCUCACUGGAUCUCUUCUGACGCUGAGGAACGAAAGCUAGGGGAGCGAACGGGAUUAGAUACCCUGGUAGUC
rnacentral:rRNA from 1 species